CAGCCAUUCAGCGUUUGGGUCAAGACGAAGGCGGGUUCUGGACAGACGUACGCUGUCAGGGAUUGUUUACUUUGCCUCCACUUCUGUUCCUCCCCGCCCUGGUGCUGCUCCGGGUCACAUACUCGUCCUGAGCCAGCUUCAGCCUCUCCGCGCAGAAGUCUCCCGGAGCCGACUUCUGCGAGUCGAGUACUCUUAUGUGAAGUCUACCAAGCUCGUGUUCAAGGGAACCAAGGCGAAGAGGCGAGAUGGAAAGAAAGUAUCAAGGAGUGAGCUGAAGCCACUGCCCUUGAGAACCCUCUCGAGGAGUCUGGACUCAUGAAGAUGCCAGAAUAAGUGGCAGGUAUAUCCUGAAUGAAUGUGAGAUUUUUACUCUGUGAAUUUCCUAUGAGAAGUGUAAGAAGAAAAAGAGCAAAGAUAAGAAGAGAAAAAGAGAAGAAGAUGAAGAAACCCAGCUUGAUAUGUUGGAAUCUGGUGGACAGUAACAAACUUUGGUGAAAUUUCAGGAACCAUAGCCAUUGAAAUGGAUGAGGGAACCUAUAUACAUGCACUCGACAAUGGACUUUUUACCCUGGGAGCUCCACACAAAGAAGUUGAUGAGGGCCCUAGUCCUCCAGAGCAGUUUACGGCUGUCAAAUUAUCUGAUUCCAGAAUCACCCUGAAAUCUGGCUAUGGAAAAUAUCUUGGUAUAAAUUCAGAUGAACUUGUUGUUGGGCAUUCAGAUGCAAUUGGACCAAGAGAACAAUGGGAACCAGUCUUUAAAAAUGGGAAAAUGGCUUUGUCGGCCUCAAAUAGCUGCUUUAUUAGAUGCAGUGAAGCAGGGGACAUAGAAGCAAAAAGUAAAACAGCAGGAGAAGAAGAAAUGAUCAAGGAAACACUGGCCUCCUUCAUCCUCAGGCUGUGUUGCUGGAAGUCACCCAUCUCCGAGGCCCCUUGGGAUUGACUGAGUGACCAGCAGUGAAGUUCAUCCACCUUCUGAAUGGAUGCCAUCAUCUGACGUGAUGGAGCUCAGCUAUGAGCAGAGAUGGACGAGGUGGCUACAAUAAUGGAUCAAGGCUAUGAGCAGAGAUGGAUGAGUCAUUGGCUGUAAUGGAUUAAGGCUAUGAGCAUCUUGUGAAGUAGGAUGUUAAAUCUGUAAAUGUCAGAAUGAAUCCAAACUUACCAAUUCAAAAUUGGAUUGUAAAACAGCUCAAAAAAGACUGAAAACACAGCUCUACACUUUAGGAGGCUGAGUCAGGCAGAUUGCUUAAGUUCAAGAGUUGGAGACAAGUCCAGGAAACAUGGAAAAACCGUCUCAACAAAAAAAAAUAUAUAUUUCUAAUGAGCUGAGUAUGGUGGUAUGAGCCUGUGGUCCCAGCUUUUCAGGAGGCUGAGGUGAGAGGAUUGCUUGAGUCCAGAAGGUAGAGGCUGCAGUGAGCUCUGAUCACGCCACUGCAUUCCAGCCUAGGUGACAGAGUGAGACCCGUCUCAAAAACAAACAAACAAAAAUAACAAACAAAAACAGCUCUAAACGAAAGUGGCUAGAAAAGUAGCUCAAGUUGUUCCUGUCUGGUUAAAUAGAAACAUAAAUGAAUUACUUAUGUGCCCCAGUGGCUUCAUAAUGCUGAGAGCAAAGUCAAUUAUUCUAGCAGAUUCUAGAAAACUUAUAUCAUGGGGUUCAAUGAAUAUAUCAAAUCAUAAAUAUAAUAAUCAAAUCUGAAAGUGAAUCUAGUUUCAAAGACCUCAAAAGCCAGUGUUUAGGAAGCUCUUUUCCGAUAGAGACAAGGGAUUAUUUGACUUCUUAUCUCUGUUGUCUAGCACAAUGUCCAGAACACAACAGAUAUUCCAUAUGCACAGUCACAUCCUAUGUAUGUGUAUUUCUUUUCCAGCAAGGACUAGAGGUCCUAAGCUUUGUUUAUAUGGUGAGCCAGUGCCCCAAUGAGCAGCAGAAUCUUAGCACAGUCACCUACACACUCAUUUCAAUGCUCUGGCCCCUUAUCCAAGCUAGUCAAAGUGUGGUCUAUGGUUUUUCAUUGCAAGGGAUCCCCGGGUGAAUCUUGUGUCUGUCAAAGGAGGAGAAGCACUGCCCUCAAAAUAUAGAAAAGGUGAACUAAUUUAUCCAGGCAGCCUGGCUAUUUAUUCAAGUAUUUAUUUAUCUUGUUGAUGGGAAGAUUCAAAUUGACAUACACAAUCACCCUCAUAAGGAUUUCAGGUAAAAAACAAACAAAGGUUUAGAUAUCAGAUGUGUUUUAGAAUUACCGCACCAGUCUUUUUAUUACAGAAUCUAGUAGCAUAUUUCCAAUAGAUCUAGGUGAAAAUUUCUAUCUCAUGAGCCUUCUGUCGGUAUUUUUAAAAUUGGAUACUCUAUUAGUGGCCAAAUUGAAUCUCUUACAGACAUCUCACUCAAACUGUAGUCAUACUUUCCAAUAGGCCCCAUAAAAAUCCUUCUUCUGGAGCAAUCUAAUAUAUUUAUCCACCUCUUUAGACACUUAGAUAAGUAUAAUAAUACAAGUUUUGUGUGUGUGUGUGUGUGUGUAGUGUGUACCUUGUGGCCUUUUGUCCAGUUUCUGCAACACCUGAUGCUGAGGCAAGUUUAAUGUAAAUAACAUCCAGCAAUGUUAGAAAUGUUGACUUUUAUUUGCCCAUCAGGGAAAAAAAGGUGAAUGUCAUUGUAGAGGAAAUUUUCAUUCUGGAAAAAAUGCCUACUGUUUGAAUAUUACUUUCAUGCUUUCCACAGAUAUUAUAUUGCAAGGAUUAUGUUUCAAAGUCAUCAAAAAUAGAAAAUACAUUUUAUAUUUCUAGCUGAAAAUAAUAACAGUAAUUAGCCUACCUUUGGGGAAAUGUGAUAAAAAUACUAAUGACCAUCACAACUCAUUAAAAGCAUAAAAUGUGCAAUGAUUUAAACUACAUGUUAUUUCUAUGAAUCUGCGUAGAAAUGUAGACACAUUUGAUAAAUGCCAUUUAAAGUCUGAGUGCUUUGGUAAAUGAUUCAUCUAUAGGUUGAAGGGAUUACUUUUAUCUGCCUUCAUAGUGAGAAUUAGAUUUCUGUUCUUUAUAAAGCAGGGAAUACAGAUUGUGCAAGGAGUAAAAGCAUUCAAUCCUUAUUAAUAAUGAUGGUAGCUGAGCUGCAGAAAAGAAAGCCUGUCAGAGUAACGUGUUCAGUUUUACAUCAUAAUCAGAGUGUGUCCAUCUCUGUUGAAGGCAGAAUUAAAAACGCCUUCAACAUUUUUAAAAUAAUAGAUGAAAAACAUCUCAAAGUCACUUUUAAAAUUUGAAUUGAUGAUUCCACAUAACAGGAAAAGGACCAGGAACAUCUUAAAUACUUCACGAUGGAAGUGAUGUUUUAAGUGUAAUUUCAUCAAGGAGAAGUUUUUCCAGAAAGUCUUUUGACCUCAGUAAGAAGCUUAUUUACUCUGGUAAAUAGUUUCUAGUAAGAUGAGAAAGACUUGAUUUUUUAAAAACAAUUAAAAAUUUACAUUGUUUAAUCUAAUGUUGUGAUUUCGAAAGUACUACUUUUGCCCUUAUAGUUACGCAUGUGUAUUUAUAUGCAUUUUCUUGGUUCAUUCAAACGCCAAUAAAAUACUUUACUAUCCAG